GCGGGCGUAAUUCAGUGGUAGAAUACUAGCUUCCCAAGCUAGGCGUCGUGGGUUCGAAUCCCAUCGCCCGCUCCA
rnacentral:tRNA from 1 species